rnacentral:rRNA from 1 species
GAAUCUCUGAGAAGGAAACAUUCAGAUAAGUUUUAUACGGCGAAAUGCGAAUGGUAAUUAAAACAGUAUAGUUAUUUGAUGGUACUUUUUACUGGAUAACUGUGUAAUUGAGAGCUAAUACAUGCGCCCAAACCCGACUUCGAGGAAGGGUGUGUUUAUUAGAUACAGAACCAACCCAGGCUGUGCCUGGUUUUGGGGUGAUUAAUAAUAACCGAACGAAUCGCAUGGCAUGCCGCUGGCGAUGAAUGAUUCAAGUUUAUGACCUAUCCAACUUCCGACGGUAGGGUAUUCGGCCUACCGGGGCAAUGACGGGUAACGGAGAAUUAGGGUUCCGAUUACCGGAGAGGGAGCCCGAGAAACGGCUACCACAUAUAAGGAAGGCAGCAGGCGCGCAAAUUACCCAAACCGGACACAGGGAGGUAGAGACAAGAAAUAACAAUACAGGGCAUAUGCAGUUUUGAAAUUGGAAUGAGUAAAAUUUAAACCCUUUACGAGUACCAAUUGGAGGGCAAGUCUGGUGCCAGCAGCCGCGAUAAUUCCCAGCCCCAAUAGCGUAUAUUAAAGUUGAAGCGGUUAAAAAGCGCGUAGUUGGAUUUGUGCCGAGGACGACCGGUCCGCCCUGUGGGUGAGUAUGUGGCUGGG